ensembl:ncRNA F40H3.12 ncRNA
CCGGUAGUAAGUCGAAACACCCGAAUGAAAUUCAAAUUCCGUGCCAACACUCCAUUUUUUCUUUUCCUUCUUUUCUUCAGACCCUUCUGCUUCUUCUUCUUCUCCUCGGGUGCCCCGGAAGAAACGAAGAGGACAUGAGC